GAACUGCACAUUGGGUUGCAGAAAAUGAACAGAUGUUCUCCAUCUUUAUUCCUAAAGUUCUGGGGGAAGCCACCUGCUGUGUCAUGAGGAUGCCCAGCCCUAUGGAGAGGCCCAUGUGGCAAGGGAGUGGAGGUGUCCUGCCAGCAGCCAUAACUUCUCAUCUCCUAGAGAAACCUAAUGAAGAAUUUGCUGUUUACACCAUGGACAUAUGUUUCUCUUAGCUCUUACCAUGUUAAACACUGAUAGAUUGCUUAUGCAUCUCCCCAGUUAGCAGUAAGCUUCAUGAGGAUGGGGAGGAACUUUCUGUCUCUAUUUCCAGAGUACCUAACACCAGAUAAAUGAAUGGGUAAUUUAUACAGUUUCCUCUGCUGUAUUUGCACAUAAGUUGUUAUUGGAACUUAAUUUAAUUAAUUUGUGUAAUUAAAGUGAACUCCUGUCUCCAGCCAGAGUGUACAUAAAAAAAGAAAAGCAAAUUGAAGAGUCUGUUAUUCAUUUUGCUCUCUGCCGUUCCAUCCUGGGAAACUAUGAUUUUACUGCUGAUUUACUGUAUCUAUGGAUAGAUACAAUUGUUUUUUUUUUUCCAUCUCUUUUGAGAAUAUGGGGGCCAUUUGUAAGUCAAGGAGAAUGUUGCUGAGGACAUCCUCACACUAGGUAAAAUAUAGUUGGUUAAGGCAUUUUAUUUUUUAAUUUUUUAAAGAUUUUAUUUUUAAGUAAUCUCCACAUCCAACACAGGACUCGAACUUACCACCUCAAGACCAAGAGUCAUGUGCUCUACCAACAGAGCUGACCAGAUACCUCAACUAAGGCAUUUUAAAAUUGAAACUAUGAUUUAAAAAAGAAAGAAAGAAACUAUGAUUCACAUUAUUGCAACAAAAAUCCUCAUAUAGUAGACAUUAAACAUUUCUUUUCUAAUGUUGGAAGACAGCAUAGCACAGAGAAAGUGAAUGGGAUUGUUUCUGACACAGGUCCAGAAUCCGAGUUCUAGAAUUUAUGAAGUAUAUGUUUGAUCAGUAAGUAUAACCAGGCUUCUGUGAAUCUUUCCAUCCCAUAUUCCCUCUUUUUCAUGUCUCCUUAUUCACUAGACAUUUAAUAGGUAUUUACUAUAUGUCAGACAAUGCCAAGUACAAGAGCUAGACUAACAAACAGGACCUGGCCCUAUGCAUAGGGAUUUCUGAGGACUGACAGAUUGGGGUCUACACAGGGGGUGGAUGGGUGGUGGCAGCUCUCUAGAAUGGCCUUAUGGGCUAAAUCUUUCUUAGCACAAAGUCUGGGUCAGAUGCAGCCCCCCCAUGAUUGUAUCUCUCCAGGCUGUAGGUUUAGAUUCGGUGAAGCAGCCCAGUGUGGUGUUUACUUUCACUUUUGCUUUGCUAAGGGAAAUCUGGAACUUGUUAGUCUGCUGUUAAAACAUUAAUUAGUUAUACUUCAGACGGUAAACAUCAUGUAAGCAAAAAUUAGUAAUUUUAAUACUUCUUCUGCUGGAACCAAAUGGGAAUGAGAGCCAGAUCUGGUGGCAUGUGAGCCUAAUGCUCCAGAAUCAAAAGCAAAGGGAUGCAGGACUGUCCCUGUGGUAAACACACAGAUCAGUCAGGAGAGUCCUAGAAACUGGAAAAGGACAACUUGAUCAUGUGGCUCAGUAUCUUUCCUAGUAUUUCUUGACAAAAUUCACCCAUCCCAUCUAUCCAUCCAGUCCUUCUGUCUGUCCAUCUGUCUGUUCAUCCAUCUGUCCGUUCAUCCACUCACAAGUGCCUGCUGCAUAUCAAAAGUAGACAGAAGGAAAAGACAUAAUUAAGAAAUCUGCGGGCUAAUAGAGAUAGAUAGCUAACAGUUACAACAUGGUAUAUAUUUUUAAAAUAUAUUGACACCCAGGGUUAAAAAAGGAAAAAGGAGAUAAAUGUUCAGUAUUGAUGCUGGGAAUAUUAAUCGAUGCACUUGCUCUGGAGAGCAAUUGGGUAACACAAAUGCUCUCAUUUGUAUUUCCAUUUGUCAAGCAAUUUCACUUAUAGGCAUCUAUUUGGAGCAUUUAAUAAUGGAAAUGUACAUGAUGUGUAAGAAUGUUUAUUACUGUUUUUUAUGAUAAACAAAAAGGGGAAACAAAUGUCCAACAGUAUAGGGAGUAGUGACAACCUUGUC